rnacentral:lncRNA from 1 species
UGUGCGCUUGCGCAGAGACCGAACUACCGCUUUCCCCGUAACCAGGGAGACUGCAGUUUGCAGUGAUGUGGCUAAGAUACCCUUGUGCUAUUAAAGGCACAUUUACGUAUCUUUCAACGCAGUUUGUACCUUUGUUUAGGGUUCUAUUGAACUUUCUCUGUGCUCUUUAGAAAACCGUCGAAUAAAGGUAACCAUCUUUUUGGGUGCCUGGGCAUGGUCAUUGUCCCAGAGUUUUAACAGAAGUCUCUACUAAAGUAUCCUGAUUUGCAAGAACUCAAAUGAUGCUGUUUUUGGACAGGGAGGUCAUGGACCAAGUACAAAGCGGCAAAAGGAUGGAAUUAAGGUACCUGACAUUGUUGAACCCAUGCCUGAUGCCACAUUAGCUCAGGACUACCUACAUGGACAUGGAUAUUUCCAGUGAAAGAAAGAAGAAAGCAUGCUUUUCUCUUGACUGUGCAGAAAAAAAAACUAUGUUUCUUUGAUUCUCCAUUUUACUAGAUGCCAUACCUUUGCAAUUACUUCAUGUGGAGUCUUGACCAAGAUUCAGGAAAUACUAGAACUUUCAGUCCCAGAAGGUUACUCUGGGCAUUACUAGUCCCCAUCAUUAUGAGUUGAGUUUUACUAGUUAAUUUCAGACGAAAAAUAUUUGUUUUUCCCCAAAUUCUGGGGUUACGUACUUUUACUACCUAUGAACUGACAACUGUAUCUUCAGUAAUUACAAUUUCCAACAAAAUGUUAUAGGAAUAAAGAAAAGAUGUUAGUUCAUUAUUCAGAGUUUAUGUUUAUUCCUUUAAUAAAAAGAAAUGGUCUGUA